rnacentral:lncRNA from 1 species
AUGCCUGUGCCCAAGUGGGGAAUCUGGAACCAGUAAGCCCGUUCGUGCAUAAAUGUAAUCCUCGGCCGCAGAAUAAACCAGCUCGGAGCCUGCAGCUGGGUUCAUCAAGGUUUGCGCAGUGGAUCCGCGAAUGAAGCCAGCCUGGAAGAUCCCCAGUCUCGAGACAGAGCCUGACAGGGGCAGAUGCACUGGAAGGACCCUGUCUGGGUUUAGCAACCAAGCAGCCAUCCUGGCCCCACAGGUGUGGGACUUCUGGGUCUUCUCCUGGCUGGCUUCUUGCUAGAGGAUUUCAAGAGACCCAGCAAGACUGUAUUGUCCCACUGAAUGCUCAAGAUAUUGGUUAGAAGUAGAAAAGGGGAGGGGGUAGUAUUUAGCCUCUGUCCCCACUAAAAAUUAUUCCCAAUUGUCAUUUGUGUCAUCUGUUUAGCUUACAGUUUUAAUCCUUGUCAAAAUGAUCAUUUGCCAGGGUGCAUAAAACACCCUAUUUGAUGAGAACUGGUUUUAAAGGAAAAUGGGGCCAUCAGAAGGAAGCCGGUUGGUGUGAAGAGACGUCUGGGAAGAGCCCCUGGCGAGGGCCCUCAUUCCACUGGGUGACCCAGAAGGAGAAAACCGCGAUGGCGCUUCUCAUUUGAAAUGUUUUCUUUAUGGACAGUGUUUAGCAAUUGUUAUAAUGUGUACUUUUGUUGAUUGAUCUGUAUACAUAUGUAAAAUAAUUUGUUCUCUGAGUUAAUUUUGUUGGAACAAAGACUUUAGUGCUUCCUACAUUAAAACAUUUUACUGUAUUGCCUGCAAAAAAAAAAAAAAAAAA